AGAAUGUUGCAUGAUAAAAUGAAACAAACGGAUGUUUUAUAAAUGAAAAGUCCUCCCGAUGGCAGCGUGUAGUUAACAGAGCAGGAAGGAAGGAAGGAAGGGAGUGGCGUUUGAGAACCAGUAAAUGGAGAGAGCGAUGGGAGCAGCGGUUAGCCCUCGAAAUAAGGUGGAGGCAGCGCGUUAUCUCCCCGAGACAAGACAAGGGAGGGGGAAAAAAAAACAAAAAAAUAAAAAAGUCAUGUGAAGAGACCCUUGUGUUUACUGCUGUUGCUGCAGAGCUGUGGUAGUUUGGGAGGGAGGAGGCCGAGGAGGAGGAGGAGAACGGGAACAUGUGUGAAGUGACUCAUUUGAAGGAACGUUUUAUGGCCCCCACUAAAACACAAAUUAAUCAGGUUUAUUUUAGGCCAACGCUUACAUCAUAAUAAAAGCCACGCUUCUCCUGCCACAUGCCGUUUAUUUUUACUCAGCGCGGCGUUAUGACGGGAAUAUUUCAGUCUUAUUUCUUCCUGUACGUGCUGAGAGCUGGAGUGGGGAGGGGGAGGUGGUGGUCCAAAAACAACAACCCCCCCUCUCCUUACCCUUGAGGGGAAGAGCAAAUAUUUGCGAGGCAGUUGCAGCGUGCCACGACCAGAAGAGGCUUGAAGGAGGUGGAGGUGGAGACGGUUCAGAGGAGGCCUACAAAGGUUAGUCUGUCACCAACAAGUCUGAAUGAGGACUGGAGCGAGGAGGAGACGGCGCUGUGGUGGAGAGGAAGAGGAGUAAAAGGCUCUGAUGUGACUGGCUACCGACACACAACGGGGCGGCCUAUUUAUAGCGAUGAAAACCGUGUGAAAGAGAUGGAGGGGAUUGUCUUUGUGCGUCUCCGUCGGCGUGACUCACCUUGAGCUUGCCCUCGCAGUGCGGGAAGCCA